rnacentral:rRNA from 1 species
CAGCAGCCGCGGUAAUACGAAGGGAGCUAGCGUUGUUCGGAUUUACUGGGCGUAAAGGGCGCGUAGGCGGACUGAUAAGUCAGGGGUGAAAUCCCAAGGCUCAACCUUGGAACUGCCUUUGAUACUGUUUGUCUUGAGUUCGAGAGAGGUAAGUGGAACUGCGAGUGUAGAGGUGAAAUUCGUAGAUAUUCGCAAGAACACCAGUGGCGAAGGCGGCUUACUGGCUCGAUACUGACGCUGAGGCGCGAAAGCGUGGGGAGCAAACAGGAUUAGAUACCCGUGUAGUCCCUGUCUCUUAUAC